UACGGAGGGGACUAGCGUUGCUCGGAAUUACUGGGCGUAAAGGGCGCGUAGGCGGAUAUUUAAGUCGGGGGUGAAAGCCCAGGGCUCAACCCUGGAAUUGCCUUCGAUACUGGAUAUCUUGAGUUCGGGAGAGGUGAGUGGAAUGCCGAGUGUAGAGGUGAAAUUCGUAGAUAUUCGGCGGAACACCAGUGGCGAAGGCGACUCACUGGCCCGAUACUGACGCUGAGGCGCGAAAGCGUGGGGAGCAAACAGG
rnacentral:rRNA from 1 species